rnacentral:rRNA from 1 species
UACGGGGGGGGGCAAGCGUUGUUCGGAAUUACUGGGCGUAAAGGGCUCGUGAGGCGGCCAACUAAGUCGGAUGUGAAAUCCCCAGGCUCAACUUGGGAACUGCAUCCGAUACUGGAUGGCUUGAAUCCGGGAGAGGGAUGCAGAAUUCCAGGUGUAGCGGUGAAAUGCGCAGAUAUCAGGAGGAACACCGGUGGCGAAGGCGGGUCUCUGGGCCGAUAUUGACGCUGAGGAGCGAAAGCGUGGGGAGCGAACAGG